rnacentral:piRNA from 1 species
UGGACCUUGAGAAUAAUCUAAAAAGCGGGGC